ensembl:misc_RNA Metazoa_SRP Metazoan signal recognition particle RNA
GCUGGGCGUGGUGGCGGGCGCCUGUAAUCCCAGCUACUUGGGAGGCUGAGGCAGAGAAUUACUUGAACCCAGGAAGCGGAGGCUGCAGUGAGCUGAGAUCACACCACUGCCCUCCAGCCUGGGCUACAAAGUGAGACUCCGUCUCAA